AAUAGUAAAUGACAACUUUAUCUAUUAUAGAGUCUUUUAAUAAAGGACAAAAAGUCCAAACAACAUUUUUAAGGCCAUUCGUGCUUUUAAUGUAGUAUAGAUAUAGAUUUUCACUUCACACUUCUUAUUUUUCCCUUCACUUUUUUGCAUUUAAUUACUAAACCAAUGGAUGUUUUACAAAGGACUCCAAAAGUCACUAUUGAAAAAAAAAAAAAAAAACCUAAUUAAUUGCCAGAAGAAACGAGAUGUCUUCUCCCACUGACAAGAAUUCCUCUGCAAUGGUCUUAUACUUCCAAUGGUAGAGUACUACUUUCUUCUCUGUCCCUUAAUUUGAUAAAGUGAAAGUUUAUUAUCUUCGUAGCCUUUUUCCUACUGUUUACUAUACUAAAAUUUCUAAUUGUCGUUCCGUGUUCUUUCUAUUUGUACCGGGGAAACAAUUUUGAAAAGUGAUAAAAAAAACUUUUGAUAAUUGCAGUUAUUAUUAGCAUGUCUGGAAUGGUUGGGUUUUAUCCUUCUUUCUCUUUGCCUAUUCUCAAUCUAUAUUUUCUUAUUGUUAUAAAAUUCUUAUUCUUUUUCUUGGCAAAAGGUUGAAAUAAAAGUGUUAGAUGGACUGUGAUCAUGCGGAAGAAAGAACAAACACACACCCACCAAAUAAAAAAUCAUUUGAACUCAUAAUGUGAUCUACAAGAGAAACCGGUAUUUGAUUUGGGGUCCAAUCUUCCAAGAAAAAGGAAGAAGGAAAAUGUCAGGCUUUUAGUUUUUAAGGAAGAGAUGUGGUCUUCCAUACAGUAUUUUGGACAACAUUAUGUAUUGCUGAUUUUAUGUUCUAAGUUCUCUUCUUUUUUCUUUUAAGAAUCUGGUUUUGAUAAUUGUACUUUUUAGGUGACUAAACGUGCUCGAGGCGGUUUAUAUGUACUUUAAAAAGUUUUAAAAAAAGUUUGCUGGUUUAUGCUUUGGUUAAUGAAGAAUUUUGGGAUCCAAAUCUCUGUAGAUUGUCUACGAGCUAUAUUUGUUUGUGUUACUUGGCGUUCAAUAGUAUUCAGGUCUUUCUGUAAUCGGCUUGGGAGACAGUUUUGAAUAAUGGACAAGAAGAAGUAUCUGAUUGGAUCCUAGCAUUACACAUUCUACGAGGAGGUAGGGAAAGGAACGAGUUCCUAAGUUCACUGCGCUCUUUGUAUCAUCUGAGUGAGAUUGUUGUCAAAAUCCGACUUCGAGCGUGAUAGUUGCGAUUUGGUCAAACCAAUUCAGGAGUGGUGAUAUUCUCCAUUAAUUUUCAGCACUGACUGUGAUGACGGAGUUGACUGUGGUGGCAGAGAUGUCAUUCGUUGACGACUAGCCUGGUCUAUGAAUGACUCCAUUGAUGCAUGAUAACAGGGGCACACUUGAAUAAAUGGGGAGGUAAUCAAUAAUAGAAUGGUAAUGGUCUUUGCUGGGUUACAGAAAUUAUUAAACUAGCAAGAGGAGAAAAAUAUUAUUUGCCAUCUAUGAGGAGAAAGAAGAGAAAGGGAGAGACAGAAAAAGUGAUGAAAACAAUUAGUGCAUUUAAACGUUUCCCACUUUUCCUCUAUGUCAGUUGAAUAAUUCUUAUCCUUCUUCCUUUUCAUAUUCUUUAACAUUUUAA